rnacentral:rRNA from 1 species
UGGGGAAUCUUCCGCAAUGGACGAAAGUCUGACGGAGCAACGCCGCGUGAGUGAAGACGGCCUUCGGGUUGUAAAGCUCUGUGAUCCGGGACGAAAGAGCCUGAGGUAAAUAGCCUAAGGAAGUGACGGUACCGGAAAAGCAAGCCACGGCUAACUACGUGCCAGCAGCCGCGGUAAUACGUAGGUGGCAAGCGUUGUCCGGAAUUAUUGGGCGUAAAGCGCGCGCAGGCGGCUUCCUAAGUCCAUCUUAAAAGUGCGGGGCUUAACCCCGUGACGGGAUGGAAACUGGGAAGCUGGAGUAUCGGAGAGGAAAGUGGAAUUCCUAGUGUAGCGGUGAAAUGCGUAGAGAUUAGGAAGAACACCGGUGGCGAAGGCGACUUUCUGGACGAAAACUGACGCUGAGGCGCGAAAGCGUGGGGAGCAAACAGG